UUCCAGACUCCUACGGGAGGCAGCAGUGGGGGAUAUUGCACAAUGGGGGGAACCCUGAUGCAGCGACGCCGCGUGGGUGAAGAAGUAUUUCGGUAUGUAAAGCCCUAUCGGCAGGGAAGAAAUUGGACGGUACCUGACUAAGAAGCCCCGGCUAACUACGUGCCAGCAGCCGCGGUAAUACGUAGGGGGCAAGCGUUAUCCGGAUUCACUGGGUGUAAAGGGAGCGUAGACGGCCAUGCAAGCCUGGAGUGAAAGCCCGGGGCCCAACCCCGGGACUGCUCUGGGAACUGUGCGGCUGGAGUGCAGGAGAGGUAAGCGGAAUUCCUAGUGUAGCGGUGAAAUGCGUAGAUAUUAGGAGGAACACCAGUGGCGAAGGCGGCUUACUGGACUGUAACUGACGUUGAGGCUCGAAAGCGUGGGGAGCAAACAGGAUUAGAUACCCCUGUAU
rnacentral:rRNA from 1 species